GAUGAACGCUGGCGGCGUGCCUAAUACAUGCAAGUCGAGCGAACAGAUGAGGAGCUUGCUCCUCUGACGUUAGCGGCGGACGGGUGAGUAACACGUGGAUAACCUACCUAUAAGACUGGGAUAACUUCGGGAAACCGGAGCUAAUACCGGAUAAUAUAUUGAACCGCAUGGUUCAAUAGUGAAAGACGGUUUUGCUGUCACUUAUAGAUGGAUCCGUGCCGCAUUAGCUAGUUGGUAAGGUAACGGCUUACCAAGGCAACGAUGCGUAGCCGACCUGAGAGGGUGAUCGGCCACACUGGAACUGAGACACGGUCCAGACUCCUACGGGAGGCAGCAGUAGGGAAUCUUCCGCAAUGGGCGAAAGCCUGACGGAGCAACGCCGCGUGAGUGAUGAAGGUCUUCGGAUCGUAAAACUCUGUUAUUAGGGAAGAACAAAUGUGUAAGUAACUAUGCACGUCUUGACGGUACCUAAUCAGAAAGCCACGGCUAACUACGU
rnacentral:rRNA from 1 species